CUGUCGUAUUUAUUAGCACAGUAACAAUCCCUUCAUACCGUUACAUGCAUCUCCUUCUGUAUUCUGGGGUUACCCGAGGUAUGGCAGUCUGCUUAAAUUAAUAAAGGGAUAUGGUAACACACAGGAGAUAUAUCCACAAAGACUGCAAAGGCACCACCAGGGUAGGAAAAACCAUACAAUAUCCCAGCAGGUGGAUGCUUUCAGAUUAAAUAAUCACUUUACAGCCCUGCUGGAGAUUAGUUAUCCAUCAUCACAAUGUGGACCAUGAUGCCGGAGCUUCGCUCUAGGAGGAGGAUUGAAUGCAGAAUGCAGUGGGAGUGCUGCACUAAAGGAGUUAUUUCUUCCAUUCUAUGGAAUGUAUUUUAGCCUAGCAGAUAAAUUCUAUCAUUAGACAUUUUUAUGCACUGUCUGGCUAGGUACUGGCUCCAAGAUCUUUUAUGAACCCCUACCCCCUAUUUACAAAAUAUAGGAGAACAACAAGUUCUUGUAGAGUAACAGAAGACCUGGGGAAUAGUAGGAAAUAAAGAAAUCUCUUCCUACAGAGACAUCUGUAUUCAAAAACUGAAAGGGGUGUUUUACCAGUUGUUCACAUUGUUAAAGACGAUAAUGGCAGUAUGAUUAGAGAAACAAUUAUAAACAUGCAUAAAUUAUGGAUUUAAUGUAUUGUAUUUAUGAGUGAUAAUUUUG
rnacentral:lncRNA from 1 species